rnacentral:lncRNA from 1 species
AUAGCAUUUUUACAUAGAACCAAACACACUUAGAGAAAACUCUCCUUAAUAAUUUUUUUUUUUCACUUUCCUCCCUAUCAUCCAAAAACUUAUAUUUUAUCGCUUAAAAAAUAAUAGAAAACUUACUUUGAGUCUUUGACCCUCGUCAUCAGUAUUCCGUUAGGAUUUCGUUUAUAUCCUAUAUUUUAUACCCAAAAUAUUUCUAAAAUCCUUCCCGUUCCUCAUCCUCGAUCAUGCCGCUUCGCCCUCCUUCGCCUCGCCUUCGCCCACCGCUCUGUCCAUGCCUACACACACGCCCUUGCCCGCCUCCACCGCCUCGCCCUCGCCCACCUCUCCGUUCACGCCCAUUCCGAAUAAGAUGACGGGCAAUUUGGUCAUUUUAUCACAGCGUACCCCCCUAUGAAUAUUUUUUAAGGGGAUAAAAUAUAGGUUUUUGAAUGAUGGGGGGUGGAAAGUGAAAAAGCGGGUAUUGACAGGUGAUUUUCUGUAAUUUAGUCAUUUUUUUCCUAAUAACUUAUUGCUAUGAAUACUGUUACAUAAUACCGCUAUAGACACUGCUAAUAAAAUAUAAUUUUAUUAAUAUAAUAAUAUAUAUGUAUUAUAUAUAAAGGGCGUGUUUGGCUCGCUUCUUUUUAACCCUGGAAUCGGAAUCGGAAUGGGUGAAUCCGCUUGUGGGUGUUUGGUACGCAGGAGUCCCAUUCCGAUUCCGAUUCCCGAGUGGAAUGGGAAUCCCCAAUCACCUCUUUUUUCAAUCCGGCUUAGGAGGCCGGAUUGAAAGUUGAAUCCGGACGGAAUGAAUAUUUAUUCAGAUUAAAUUUAUUUUUUCAACUUUUUUAAUUAAAAUAUGAGUUAAAAUUUAAAAAUUAAAUAUAUAAUUUUAAAUUUUAAUUUGAACUUAAAUUAAAAAUUAAAAUUUAAUUAAGUAUUUCGAAUCUAACUUAUGAAUUUGAAUUUAAAUUAAAUUUUAAUUUAUAUAAAGUUUUAUUCAAAUUUAUUUCGAACUUAAAUUAAAUUUAUGAAUUCAAAUUAAAAUUUAAAUUGUAAUUUUAAGUUUGAAUUUAAAUAAAUGAAAAUUUAGUUUCAUAUUUUUGAAUUAUCCACUCAACUUCAAAGUUUAAUUUUUUUAAAAAAAUAGAUUUAAAAUUUAGACAUUAUUUCAAAAUUUUGAUGUAAAAUUUUAAUAUUUAAUUUUUAAUUUGAAUUUAAAUUAAUAUAUUAUAAGAUAAUGUUAGUAUAUUAAUUUGAUUACGUUUUCUAUAUCCAUAUGAACCAAACACCGACAAUGGGAAUGAUUUAUUCCGAUUCCGAUUCCGAUUCUGGUGAUGAACCAAACAGAAUUAAGUAAUGGGUCAUUUUGAUUCCGAUUCCAAUUUAUUUUGAUUCCGAUUCCGACUCCGACUUCGAACCAAACACGCCCAAAUAGUUAAUUAACUAAAAUAUUAUUAUAUGUCAAAAACAAAUGAAUUUUACUAAAAUUUUUAUUAAUAGUUUCAUAUAUUUUAAGACAAAAAUUUUUCUAUCAUACAUAAUUUAUUUAUAUUAUUUAAAAAAAAAGUUUGUAUGUAUUCAUUAAAAAGCCUAGAUAUUUAAUCUUACAUUAUAUAUGUAUAAAAAAUAAAAUAAAAUAAAAUAUAUAUAUAUAUUUUUUUCUAUUGAGAUAGGUUAUGAACUUGCGUGGAACAUAUGUUCAUAGCUUGUCCGCAUUGGAAUCGCGAGAUUUAUAGAAGUUGUUUGUGAUACAUAAGGUAAAAAUAUAUAAAAUUUAUGUGAACUAUGGAUUAUUUUAAUUUGACUAUGUGCUUUUUUUAAUAUUGUAAUUUAAUAAUCCAAAUUUUCAAUUUAUUUGAAUUGAAUUAAUCAAUAAUAUUUUGAUUUCAAAAUAUAAGUUAAUUACUUAUUUUAGUGAACUUAUAGUUGGGGGACUUAUAUGAAAUAUACUAACUAAAUUUGUAAAGAUAAACGCCGCAUAUUAAUUUUAAAGUCCAAAUACCGUUGGUUGACUCAAAUUAAACAAAAUUGAAAGAUUGAUCAGUAAAAUUAAAAUUUUGAAAUAUUUGAUAGCUAAAUCAAAAUGGUUCCUAGUUCAUAUAAGUACUAUAAGU